rnacentral:rRNA from 1 species
UUGAACGCUGGCGGCAGGCCUAACACAUGCAAGUCGAGCGGUAGCACAGAGAGCUUGCUCUCGGGUGACGAGCGGCGGACGGGUGAGUAAUGUCUGGGAAACUGCCUGAUGGAGGGGGAUAACUACUGGAAACGGUAGCUAAUACCGCAUAACGUCGCAAGACCAAAGUGGGGGACCUUCGGGCCUCAUGCCAUCAGAUGUGCCCAGAUGGGAUUAGCUAGUAGGUGGGGUAACGGCUCACCUAGGCGACGAUCCCUGGCUGGUCUGAGAGGAUGACCAGCCACACUGGAACUGAGACACGGUCCAGACUCCUACGGGAGGCAGCAGUGGGGAAUAUUGCACAAUGGGCGCAAGCCUGAUGCAGCCAUGCCGCGUGUGUGAAGAAGGCCUUCGGGUUGUAAAGCACUUUCAGCGGGGAGGAAGGCGUUAAGGUUAAUAACCUUGGCGAUUGACGUUACCCGCAGAAGAAGCACCGGCUAACUCCGUGCCAGCAGCCGCGGUAAUACGGAGGGUGCAAGCGUUAAUCGGAAUUACUGGGCGUAAAGCGCACGCAGGCGGUCUGUCAAGUCGGAUGUGAAAUCCCCGGGCUCAACCUGGGAACUGCAUUCGAAACUGGCAGGCUAGAGUCUUGUAGAGGGGGGUAGAAUUCCAGGUGUAGCGGUGAAAUGCGUAGAGAUCUGGAGGAAUACCGGUGGCGAAGGCGGCCCCCUGGACAAAGACUGACGCUCAGGUGCGAAAGCGUGGGGAGCAAACAGGAUUAGAUACCCUGGUAGUCCACGCCGUAAACGAUGUCGAUUUGGAGGUUGUGCCCUUGAGGCGUGGCUUCCGGAGCUAACGCGUUAAAUCGACCGCCUGGGGAGUACGGCCGCAAGGUUAAAACUCAAAUGAAUUGACGGGGGCCCGCACAAGCGGUGGAGCAUGUGGUUUAAUUCGAUGCAACGCGAAGAACCUUACCUGGUCUUGACAUCCACAGAACUUAGCAGAGAUGCUUUGGUGCCUUCGGGAACUGUGAGACAGGUGCUGCAUGGCUGUCGUCAGCUCGUGUUGUGAAAUGUUGGGUUAAGUCCCGCAACGAGCGCAACCCUUAUCCUUUGUUGCCAGCGGUUAGGCCGGGAACUCAAAGGAGACUGCCAGUGAUAAACUGGAGGAAGGUGGGGAUGACGUCAAGUCAUCAUGGCCCUUACGACCAGGGCUACACACGUGCUACAAUGGCAUAUACAAAGAGAAGCGACCUCGCGAGAGCAAGCGGACCUCAUAAAGUAUGUCGUAGUCCGGAUUGGAGUCUGCAACUCGACUCCAUGAAGUCGGAAUCGCUAGUAAUCGUAGAUCAGAAUGCUACGGUGAAUACGUUCCCGGGCCUUGUACACACCGCCCGUCACACCAUGGGAGUGGGUUGCAAAAGAAGUAGGUAGCUUAACCUUCGGGAGGGCGCUUACCACUUUGUGAUUCAUGACUGGGGUG